GACGAACGCUGGCGGCAUGCCUAAUACAUGCAAGUCGAACGAUGAUGUCCUCGGCUUACGGAGAAUUGAAGAGUAGCGAACGGGUUAGCAACACGUGGUCAACCUGCCCAUGAGAAGCGGAUGACAUUCGGAAACGGAUGCUAAUACCGCAUAAUGCUUUGCUCCGCCUGGUCCAGAGACUAAAGACGUCUUUUGCUGUCACUCAUGGAUGGACCCGCGCCGUCUUUACUAGUUGGUGAGGUAAUGGCACACCAAAGCUGUGAUACGUACCCGACCUGAGAGGGUGAUGGGCCACACUGGAACUGAGAAACGGCCAAGACUCCUACGAGACGCAGCAGUAGGGAAUAUUGGAGAAAGGAGGAAAGAAUGUUGCAGCAAGGCCGCGUGAAUGAAGAAGGACUUCGGAUCGUAAAAUUCUGUUAUUAGGGAAGAAAAACUCAAGGAAUAACUGUCAUGACUUUGACGGUACCUAACCAGAAAGUCACGGCUAACUACGUG
rnacentral:rRNA from 1 species